GACUCUGAGCAGUGGAUCACUUGGCUUAUAUGUCAAUGAAGAAUGCAGCUUACUGCUAGAACUAAUGUGAAUUGCAGAACACAUUAAUCAUCGGCACUUCAAACGCAGUUUGCAGCCCUGGGUUACUCCCGGUGCUACGCCUGUCUGAGGGUCA